UACAGAGGGUGCAAGCGUUAAUCGAAAUUACUGGGCGUAAAGGGUGCGUAGGUGGUCGGAUAAGUCAGGCGUGAAAUCCCCGGGCUCAACCUGGGAACUGCGCUUGAUACUGCCCGACUCGAGUUUGGUAGAGGGUAGUAGAAUUCCCGGUGUAGCGGUGAAAUGCGUAGAUAUCGGGAGGAAUACCAGUGGCGAAGGCGGCUACCUGGACCAAAACUGACACUGAGGCACGAAAGCGUGGGGAGCAAACAGG
rnacentral:rRNA from 1 species